AUUCCCUUCAAAAUAACAAUCCUUUUCUUGUUCAUGGAUAUAAUAUGAUCCUAACUCGGUAAGUGUAGGAAUGAUUUCUUUUUUGAAAAUGUUUUCUCCUUUUACUCCUAUUAAAUAUUUUUUUAAAUAUCCAGUAGCCGUUAGCUAUGUGUUCAUAUUUAAGAUUUGGAUAGUAAAAAGCUUAUUACGUGCUCUGUGCAUGUGUGAAACCUGUCAACUGGCACCUUCAUUAGACAGUGGUCUGGCUAUGCCUUAUUUUGAGGAACUCCUAAUAUUAAUACUUUUAGGUCUUUUCUUCCAACUAGUCAGAGUUGCCAGGGAAGAAUCUUCUAACCUCCUGUCUGGAAGGAAAAUGCUGACUGAGUGUGCUCUGAUUGGCAAGUAAAGAGAAGACUGAUGGUCUAGACAUUUAUUACAUGAAAUUUUGAUUAAUUUCUCUUACCUUAAUUUUGCUUUGUGUUUCCUAGUCUAAAGACUAUUUUCUCUUUUUUAAAGGAAAUGUUUUUAUUGAAAUGUAACAUACAGAGAGUGCACACAUAAAUGUGGAACUCACUGAAUUCUUACACAGUAAAUACAGCUGUGUAAGCACCACACAAAUCAAGAUAUAAAACAUAAUCAGCACCUCAGAUGCCUACUUUAUUCAUCUUCUGUCCUUCUUGUCCCACCAUCAAAGAUGAGUUGAAAACUGGCAGUUCAAAAGGACACUUUUAGACACAAGCAUGGCUGGGAAGAGAAACAAGGCUGAGAGAACACAGAGACAGGCUUUCUCUUUGAGGUUAUAAAAUAGCUGCCAGAAUCUCCACAGGAACCAUGUUCUUUCAGAUUCCAAUCCAGCAGAAAAAAAGUGAGUGUCUUUCAGUAAUCCUAGAAAACUAAACCAUGAUAGUUGCUCAGAGUGGACCAACAGUAACUGAAACCAGGAUGUUAGUGUACUGGUUUCAUGAGCUUCUAGGGACCAGGAAUAAAGCCUCAAGCAGGACAAGUAAACUGAGAGUGGGGAGAGGAGGAUCCCCAAAUAAAAAUAAAGGUUGUUGCCACAAGAAAGGGGAGUGGAUGCCUGAUAAUUAAACAACAAAUGUCAAAUGCAAGGUAAGAGAAUUACUUGAUUCUCUUUUUUCCUCUCUUCUUAACAUAAAUAUA